UAGUGUCUGGCCUGCGAUUGGUAGUUAGCCCAUGUUUGUUGAAUACACAGCCUUGCCUGUGACCUUGGUGGCCUGUCACAUCUCUCUCUGAGGAAGUGACUAACACCCAACCACCCUUAUAACGGACUGAAGUUCCCACGGGCAGACAGCAGCUGAUCGGGGCAGGGGCAGCCAGGGGCCCCGGAGGACCAAAGACUCAGCUCCAUGAAGCCAUGCCGCGGACCUGUCCCCUCUUCCGCCUCACCAUCUUCUGCACAGGGGUCUCUUUGGGUAUAAUUUUGGAACCAGAGACCCAAACUCUGACUGCUCUCCUUGGAGGGCCUGCCACCUUCCGGUGCAACGUAAGUGGAGGGGACCUGGUAAGCUAUCAGAUGAGCUGGUAUAAGAAGAAUGAAGAUCAGUCCCUGACUUUAGUAUACAGACAAGGCAAUCAUGCUACUGAAGGGGCGAGGAGUAAGUUCAAAGGGAAAAUUGAUGCUUUAAAAAGUCAGUAUAUACUCGACAUUCAAAACGCAACAGCGGAAGACGUUGGGACUUACUACUGUGGGUCGGACAUCCACGGUGCUCCAGCUCUGCUUCUGGUCGCCUCAAAACCCCCGGCGGCCAACCCAAGCGGCACAUCCAAUGAGAGACCAUCUCGGGCUACAUUGACCACCAAACUGAGGUGAGAUCACUCGAUAAACUCGAAAAUGACAUCUGAUAGGAGAGACAGGGGCGGAGUUGGGGCCUUAUCUUUGUAGUUGGCUGAGAGAGGCUUUAUCAGCCAAAGAGGGCAGAAAAGGCGGUUAGGUUUUGUGCAGGGAGACCAGGGGACCCUGCUCCUGUCUGUCACAGACUUCUGAGAAAAGACUGGGGGGUGGGGUGGGAAACAGUCUUCAUUACUGAGAAGAUUCUCUGGCUGUGAAGAGUCUGGGAAGAACAGAGUUUCUACUACCGGGAGUGCUGUAGCUCAUUCCAGAGCCUGUCUGGGAGAGGAUCCCCUUCCACGCUCGCUCACGUGGAUGUGGGCAGACCUUGAGCCCUCACGGAGGCAUCUCCAGAGGGUUCAUCACAGCACAGCAGCUUACUUUUCUGCGGCAGGGACUCUGAGAGAGAAGGCACGGUCUUUUGGUAACCUCAUCUGAGCAGUGACAUCCCAUCGCUUCUGCCAUGUUCUCUUCAGUAGAAAUGAGUCCAUAAAUGCAGCCCACACUCAAGGGGAGGAGAUUACAUGAGAGCAUGAUGACCAGGAGGUAGGGACCAUUGGGGGUCAUCUUAGAAGCUGCUGGCUACAGGGGGUUAAUGCAGUGGAGCAGAGAGAGAGAGGGCUCAGAAACUCUGGUUGAGAUCAGCUCGUUCAGAGACUCCUGACAACAAGGCUAAAGAGAUUUGAUUUUCUCUUACAAGCCAGUUUUUCCCAAACUUUAUUGUGCAGGCAAAGCACCUGGAGAGAUUGUUUCCAAUCAGAUUCUUGAGCCCAGCCUAUAAAGAGUCUAAUUCAGUCUACCUGGGGGCAGGCCCAAGAACAUGUAUUUUUAACAAGCACCCCAGGAGAUUAUGAUACAAGUGGUCCAAGGACAUGUUUGAGAAAUUCUGCUAUAAGCAGAAGAAGAACUGUUUGUUUUUUAGUACAAGGAAGAUGUGUCCCAGUUCUCCUGCCCAACUACAGAGAAAUGAACAUUAGAUGUGAUCAAGGAACCUCUUGAAUGAUGGUUCUUAAUUCCAACUGCAUAUUUGAAUCACGUGGGGAAACUCUUUGACAAUAUUAGUGUCUGGAAUAUAUCCCUAGAGAUUUUGAUUGAACUGGUGUGGCCGUAGAGCUCUAGCUUCUCAGAUAUUCAGCCUCCCUCCCCUGCACUCUCCUUUUCCCCUCUCAAGUCUAAGAACUUAGUGUUCUAAAUGUCGUCUCUGGACCAACAUCAUAAGCAUCACCUGGAAGUUUGUCAGAAUGCAGAAUCUCAUGUACCAGCCUAGAUCAACUGAGUCAGAAUCUGCAUUUUAUUAAGAUUCCCUAGGUGAGUUAUAUGCAUAUUAAAGUUUGAGAACCACUGGUCUAGGGAACCCAUCGUUACUGAAAAAUUUCAUAGAGGGGGAGAAACAUAAAUCAGUUUUUCACAAAUGUCACCCAAGAAUCUAUAUUUGUAAAAAGCUCCUGAAGGGACUCUGAUGUGCAGCCAGGUGUGAGACACACAAUAAGCAAUCAGUCAUCCCCAAAUCAGGUUACAGAUUAUUUGUGUUACUAACAUAUAAUAAAUAUUCUCAUUGAGGCGUUACUGUGUCCUUGCACGCUCUUUGGAAGGAGUCAUGACAUAAAUUCUAGGUAUGACCAUUUCUCAUUCAUCCACAAGCAGAUAAGGAAAUGAAUUAAUAUUUAUUGAGUCAACGUGCUCUUUAUCACACUUGUGUCCUUCCUGGAUUAUCCACUGCAACCCAGGACCUUGUGCUACACACCUUCAUCCCAAGAUCAAACCAGAAAAAAAGAACCUGAAUCAUUACUGUCUGAUUAAGUCUGAUCGAGAAGAAAAGGGACAGGAGAUGAGAGCUUGUGUCUCCUGCAUGAUGGAUGAGAGCAUGAAGUUCUGGCCCAUGUUGGGGGGAGGCAACUCAGAAUCUGAGACAGGCAUGGGGUAAGCAUGAAAAACAGAGCCUGGGGCCAAAGAAGAGGGACAUUUAGGGGGAAGGCAACCGAAUGUCCAAUAACUACCAAGUAACAAUCUGAGAGAAUCUGGGCACAAAACUAUGGAAAAAGGAACUAGACAAGAAUUAAAAUUAAAGAUUUGGAGAAAUUCCCAGAGCUUACCAGGAGGUAGAUGAGAAAGUCGUUUACAUAAUACCUGAAGCCUCAGACUUGGGUGGAGAUAGGACCACUAAGGCUCUAGCAUAGUGUAGACAUAGGCCAAGUGUUUCUGCAGAAAUCCCAGAGCCAAGUGAAUGACAUGAAUGUCAGCAAAUAAUUUAUAUUGUCCUGGUUCUUCUCCACUGCAUUGGUAAAGGCAACUGAGGGUUGAUUGAGUUCAUAUUAUUCUUAUGCCCAUUAUCCUGCUUUCUGUGAGUUUUAUCCAUCAUGGAAAGGGUUCACUUGACAGAGUUCAGAGCAUUGAAGAGAAAUUCCAGAGAGUGUCUGCCCAUCCUCUGAAAGAGUCUUUGAGGUCAACUUUCAGGGCAUGGUAACAGGCAUGCCACUUCCACCAGGCUCCCAAGCUAAGGAGUCACUAGGCAUCCUAGGUGGCUAGAAAUGGGAGAUACGACUGUUCAACAGGAGCAAGAAGGUACUUUGUGUCCGAGAACAGUGCUAUCAACCAGCUGCACUUACAAACAAGUCAUUCAACAUCAUGGAACCCUGGUACGGCGUGAGAGGCAAGAGAAAAGAAGGGAAUCAGAGUACACUUCUUCUGCAUCACCAAGGGAGAAAAUGUCGUUUCUAUCAUAAGGUGUCACAGCCUUGAAGGAAUUGCUCAUUACAGCAUCCUGAAAGUGCCCAGGGAGGAUACAGGAAAGGUCCAAGUAAGGAAAUGGACUCAAGGAAAUUCAAGUUGUGACCUUCAUUCUGAACAAUUAAGAGUUUAAACAGAAAAUUAGAAUCAUUGAAUUUGAAAGCCAGAAGGGAUCUUAA